rnacentral:rRNA from 1 species
UACGGGGGGGGCAAGCGUUGUUCGGAAUUACUGGGCGUAAAGGGUUCGUAGGGGGUCCGCUAAGUCAGACGUGAAAUCCCUCAGCUUAACUGGGGAACUGCGUCUGAGACUGGCAAGCUCGAGUGCAGGAGAGGAACGCGGAAUUCCAGGUGUAGCGGUGAAAUGCGUAGAUAUCUGGAGGAACACCGGUGGCGAAGGCGGCGUUCUGGACUGCAACUGACACUGAGGCGCGAAAGCGUGGGGAGCGAACAGG